rnacentral:misc_RNA from 1 species
UAUCAUUAAAUUGAAUAGAAUCAAAUUCAAUCGUCCGAUUCGAUUAUUAAUUUUUCUUUUUUUAAUUUUUUUGAGAAGAUUGUGACAAAUCAGAAUUUUUAGGUGCACAAGACCUUACCCAAGUAAAUGCCCACUGGAAGAGACCAGAAGCCAAGAGCCAACCGCCAACUCAGCUUCCUCCCCCUUGCUAAGAGUAAGAGCAGAGUCUCUUGUAACGUCGAUCAGUAAUAACAGCGAAGAAGAAGAAGAUGAUGGGAUAGUCCUCAUUUUGCUGUGCUUCUGACAAAAUGACUCUCCCAACGAAACUCGACCUCGACUCUUUCCUUAAAUUGCACUCCGACUCCGACGAUGACUACACCACCGUCGCUCACGGCGCGAUGAAAUUCUCAAUGACUCCAAUUCUUCCACGUCACCCUCCCUUCCUUCAUCGCCAUCAUCCCUAAAUAUCCACCAACCUCACCUUUCUCAUCUUUCCUUCUCCCAGAACGAUGUCGCCUCCGAGUAUUUGGGGUAACGGCGAAGCAGGUCAGAUGGCAAAUUUGCAGAGGCAGAUGAUAGUGCGGGUGAUUUUCAA